GAUCCGGCUCAGGAUGAACGCUAGCUACAGGCUUAACACAUGCAAGUCGAGGGGCAGCGGGAUUGAAGCUUGCUUCAAUCGCCGGCGACCGGCGCACGGGUGAGUAACGCGUAUCCAACCUUCCGUACACUCAGGGAUAGCCUUUCGAAAGAAAGAUUAAUACCUGAUGGUAUCUUAAGCACACAUGUAAUUAAGAUUAAAGAUUCAUCGGUGUACGAUGGGGAUGCGUUCCAUUAGGUAG
rnacentral:rRNA from 1 species